rnacentral:sRNA from 1 species
AAUAAGACAAGAUAGAGGUGAGUUGUCAGCGAGUCCUAUGUUGAAAUCUGGAAUGUCUCCUGAGCAGAGCAGGUCUGGGUCUUCUCCAGGACUUAGAGAUGGGUCUGGGACUCCCUCGAGGCACAGCCUGUCUGGGUCCUCUCCUGGAAUGAAAGAUAUACCUAGAACGCCAUCUAGAGGGAGAAGCGAAUGUGAUUCUUCCCCAGAACCGAAAGCUUUGCCUCAGACUCCUAGGCCGAGGAGUCGUUCUCCGUCAUCCCCAGAGCUCAACAACAAGUGUCUUACCCCCCAGAGAGAAAGAAGCGGGUCAGAAUCAUCAGUUGAUCAGAAAACUGUGGCUCGGACUCCCCUGGGGCAGAGAAGUCGUUCGGGAUCCUCUCAAGAACUUGAUGUGAAACCCAGUGCAUCCCCUCAGGAAAGAAGUGAGUCAGACUCUUCUCCGGAUUCUAAAGCCAAGACACGAACCCCACUUCGGCAGAGGAGUCGGUCUGGAUCAUCUCCAGAGGUUGACAGCAAAUCUCGACUAUCCCCUCGGCGCAGUAGGUCUGGUUCCUCCCCUGAAGUGAAAGAUAAGCCAAGAGCAGCACCCAGGG